GACGAACGCUGGCGGCGUGCCUAAUACAUGCAAGUCGAACGAGAGCGACCGGUGCUUGCACUGGUCAAUCUAGUGGCGAACGGGUGAGUAACACGUGGGUAACCUGCCCAUCAGAGGGGGAUAACAUUCGGAAACGGAUGCUAAAACCGCAUAGGUCUUCGAACCGCAUGGUUUGAAGAGGAAAAGAGGCGCAAGCUUCUGCUGAUGGAUGGACCCGCGGUGCAUUAGCUAGUUGGUGAGGUAACGGCUCACCAAGGCCGUGAUGCAUAGCCGACCUGAGAGGGUGAUCGGCCACAUUGGGACUGAGACACGGCCCAAACUCCUACGGGAGGCAGCAGUAGGGAAUCUUCCGCAAUGGACGCAAGUCUGACGGAGCAACGCCGCGUGAGUGAAGAAGGUUUUCGGAUCGUAAAACUCUGUUGUUAGAGAAGAACAAGUGCUAGAGUAACUGUUAGCGCCUUGACG
rnacentral:rRNA from 1 species